GCUUUUCUUCCCAGUUCUUCCUGGAGUUGGGAAAAGCUGGGUUGAGAGGGCAAAAAAAAAAUGUU
rnacentral:pre_miRNA from 1 species